ensembl:lncRNA
UCUCUAUUGGAACUUUUUUUCCUACCCUUUUCACAAGAACAUCAUCUGAGACAAAAACAGAAGCUGAAAUCACAAUAUUUCAGCAACACCUUUCCCCCUUACCCAGCCUCCUUAUCAUUUGGAUGGCUAGAAAGACAUUUUUUAAAGAUUUGUUCCAAUGGAUUUCCAGGAAUAACUCUUGGGCUGGCUGGCUUAUGAAUUCCUGGUCCCUUCUUUUCCUCCCUUUAAAAAGGGAAGGAUUUUGCUGCCUAUUCAAAAUGAAUAGAUUCAGAAGUGGAAUCCAGCAUGGAAAAUGAAGGAAGGUCAGAGGAAGGAUACUCUCGCCAUAUCAGGCAUAACUUUGCUCACAUCAACAAACCUCCCUGAGCAAGAAAUGAGCACUGCUCCAAGACUCAAGGAUACACUAGUAGGUCCUGCACCCUGCUCUGUUUCUAUGCACAUUUUGUUUUGCUUUAGUAUAAGCUGACUUAUAGGAAGCUUCCAGUAGAGGAAAGCUGUAACUCAUCUGAAAAGAAUCUGUGCUUUAAGAAACAGGCACCUUCAUACUGGAUCUUAAAUAAUAUAUCACAUAAUGCAAUUAUUCUAUGUCUCCUGGUCAUCACAUGGUCUGAGGAAAUCAUAGGCCGGUUUCUAAUAUCGGGAAUGUAAGAAUCCUGUGGAAUUACACUAUAUAUAGAACUAUAUUCUUCUCUCUCUUUAAUGCAAGCUUUUAUUGGAAUAAGCAUUUUUCUAAUUAUCUAUUCUCCA